AUGGGGCAGCCGAGGGAGCCCAGCUUCACCCCCCCCCCAUCCCUCUCCGCACCAUCCUUCCCUGGGCUGUGCCCACGCGGGGGCUCGGCCCCCACAGCCCGUGCCCACGAGGACGCAGGGGGCUGUUUGCACCUUGGUGCGGGCGCACGGGGCCGUACGGGGCCGUACGGGGCUGGGCGGGCGGGAGGCUGCUCCGUGGCACCGUGCCACGCGGGUAAAUAUUUUGCUCCAGCCACGGCUCCUGGCCCGCAGCCACCCGCAGCCGUUGGAGCACCGGGAGAUCCGGGGGCUGGAGCCAGCACCCGGCACCCCCCUUCCUCGCUCCGCGCCAGCGCCGCCUUCCUCAGCGCCAACGGCACCGCCUGGCCCCCGGCCCCGGCCGGGACGGCCCCGGUGUCCCGUGGCCGAGGUCCGGCUGCCAGCCGCUGUCCCGUGCGGGGCCGGGGGCAGAGCCCGCCACGUGCAGCGCCGGGCACCGACCGCAUGGGCACGGGGCCGGCCGGGACCUCGCCGGUGGCUGGAGCCGUGCCAGGGGUGGGUGCGUCCCCGCUCCCACGGCCCGGCCAAAGUCACCCGGGUUUUAAUACGUGGAGGUGUGGGAACGGGGGCCGGGCGGAUUCACCCCCCCCCGCUGCUCUUCGAGGAAGGAAGUUUGGGGUUUGGUGGAAUUUUCCGUGGGGAAACCGGCCGGGGCAGAGCCAGGUAUGGCUUGGGGUGGCGGCGCGGUCCCCUGCCUCCGUGACACCCCAGGGCCACGGCUGGUGGCAGCACGGGGCCCCCCAGCACGAGGAGGACGGGACGUUUUGGGGUCCCGUGUCCCCACCGUGCCUGCAGGGUCUGUCCCCCACGGUUGCCCCCCAGGCAGAUCCUGUCCCGGGCUGGCUGUCCCCGUGCCGUGGGGCAGCCCCGAGGCCGUGCCCUGCGUUGUCCCCCCCGCCCGGGCUGCCCCGAUGCCCCCGUUGCCCUGCAGGGAAACUGAGGCACUGGCUACCAGGGACUCCCAUGGCCACCACCAGCCCCGGCCCGGCCCCCACCGCCACCGCGGUUGGGGCCCCCCCGGAGGGGAACGGGUUAAGGGGCCCCCGCGGGCUCGAGCCCCCCUCGCGGGCUCCCCGAAGCUCCCCGAGGGCUCAUUAUCCGCGGCCUCGGCCCCCCUGCCCGGGGGGAUGA
rnacentral:lncRNA from 1 species